rnacentral:tRNA from 1 species
GCCAGCAUGGCUCUGUGGCUGAGUGUUGACUUAUGAACCAGGAGGUCAAGGUUCGAUUCCUUGUGAGGGCA